rnacentral:lncRNA from 7 species
GGCCAUUUUGUGUCCGAUCUGCGCCUCAUGGCGGGCUCAGCUCCCUCACUGCUGCCACCGCGUGGAGGGGAAACAUAAAAAGUCUUUUCUGCAAGUAGGCUGCUUUACAGCAAAAGUUCUGCCUGUGGCGAUACGAAAUCAAGAGGAAAAAACAGAUAAACACAGAAUGCAUAUCUAAGCUACUGGAUGUUUACAAAAGGAACGUCUGUUUAUCCAGAGAGCCUUAUCUGGGCUUGGCGACGAGCACAUUCCGCAGCCAGAAGAAGGACCAGACAGCUAUACUCUGGACCACCUCAUUUCAGAAUUCUGCUUGAAGCACACUAAAGACUUCAGUGAGACUUUCUGACAGCGUGUGGUAAUGAAACUACCCCAUAAGGAGAUGAAAAACAAGAUAUACUCAAUGGGAGGAGCACAUGCUUGUACUUAAAUUCUUCUGUUUCUCCUUCAGUCAGAUGGGCAAAGGAAAAUGCUGUCCUAUCCCAAGAAAUGCAAAGGCAUAAUCAAGUAUGUCUGUGCCUCUCUUGCCAUUUUGAUAUUGGGAACUCAUCCAGCUGUGAACCAAUAGUCUUCUGCCCUUCCACAUUCAGCUGUCAUUUUGUCUCACAUCUGUUUCCUACUUUAUCAGUCCUGGAUUGAAUGUGAUGGAUCGAGGUGGAGGAGUAAACUUAAAGCUGUUUGCCAAAAAGAACAAAACUUGCGGACAUGGGGACAGCUCAGCAUCUGACAUCAUAACUUUGACUUUCUACUUCUGUAGUGUUCAUUUCUCUUAUAGCAAAGCGGACUUGCUGUGGGUGCUGUGCAGAAUAGAUAUUUAGAU